ensembl:snRNA U6 U6 spliceosomal RNA
AAAAAUUAUGUUUGCUUUAAUAAAUAAAAUUGGAAUGCUAGGGAAGCUGAACAUGGCCCCUGUGUAAGGAUGGCAUGCAAAUUUGUGGAGUGGUCCAUAUUUUU